GGGGGAUAUUGGACAAUGGGGGCAACCCUGAUCCAGCGACGCCGCGUGAGGGAAGAAGGUUUUCGGAUUGUAAACCUCUGUUGACGGAGAAAAAAAUGAUGGUAUCCGUUUAGAAAGCCACGGCUAACUACGUGCCAGCAGCCGCGGUAAUACGUAGGUGGCAAGCGUUGUCCGGAAUUACUGGGUGUAAAGGGAGUGUAGGCGGGAUAUCAAGUCAGAAGUGAAAAUUACGGGCUCAACUCGUAACCUGCUUUUGAAACUGACAUUCUUGAGUGAAGUAGAGGCAAGCGGAAUUCCUAGUGUAGCGGUGAAAUGCGUAGAUAUUAGGAGGAACACCAGUGGCGAAGGCGGCUUGCUGGGCUUUUACUGACGCUGAGGCUCGAAAGCGUGGGGAGCAAACAGGAUUAGAUACCCUGGUAGUCCACGCCGUAAACGAUGAUUACUAGGUGUGGGGGGAUUGACCCCUUCCGUGCCGGAGUAAACACAAUAAGUAAUCCACCUGGGGAGUACGACCGCAAGGUUGAAACUCAAAGGAAUUGACGGGGGCCCGCACAAGCAGUGGAGUAUGUGGUUUAAUUCGACGCAACGCGAAGAACCUUACCAGGUCUUGACAUCAAGUGACCGCCUAAGAGAUUAGGUUUUCCCUUCGGGGACACAAAGACAGGUGGUGCAUGGUUGUCGUCAGCUCGUGUCGUGAGAUGUUGGGUUAAGUCCCGCAACGAGCGCAACCCUUAUCAUUAGUUGCUACGCAAGAGCACUCUAAUGAGACUGCCGUUGACAAAACGGAGGAAGGUGGGGAUGACGUCAAAUCAUCAUGCCCUUUAUGACCUGGGCUACACACGUACUACAAUGGCGUUUAACAAAGAGAAGCAAAGCCGCGAGGCAGAGCAAAUCUCCAAAAAACGUCUCAGUUCGGAUUGUAGGCUGCAACUCGCCUACAUGAAGUCGGAAUUGCUAGUAAUCGUAGGUCAGCAUACUACGGUGAAUACGUUCCCG
rnacentral:rRNA from 1 species